rnacentral:rRNA from 1 species
AUCGCUAUGAGAUGGGCCUAUCUCCUAUCAGCUAGUUGGUAAGGUAAUGGCUUACCAAGGCAAUGACGGGUAGCUGGUCUUAGAGGACGAUCAGCCACACUGGAACUGAGACACGGUCCAGACUCCUACGGGAGGCAGCAGUGGGGAAUAUUGCACAAUGGGGGAAACCCUGAUGCAGCAACGCCGCGUGGAGGAUGACGCAUUUCGGUGUGUAAACUCCUUUUAUCAAGGAAGAAAUUUGACGGUACUUGAUGAAUAAGCACCGGCUAACUCCGUGCCAGCAGCCGCGGUAAUACGGAGGGUGCAAGCGUUACUCGGAAUUACUGGGCGUAAAGGACGCGUAGGCGGUUUAGAAAGUCAGAUGUGAAAGCCUAUGGCUUAACCAUAGAACUGCAUCUGAAACUCCUAGACUAGAAUGAGGGAGAGGUCAGUGGAAUU